AGACAAAAAACUGAAACUUGUCUGGGGUGCAGAAGCAGAGAGGAAGCGAUACCAUUUAAUGAAGCAGGCUAAUGGUGGUAGGGAGAAAAGGUCUCAAUUCUCCCACCUCAGAAACAUUGAGCCUGUAAAUAUUGCUGAAAUCACAUUUGGGAACAAAGCUCCGCUUUAAGUAGGCUCACCCUUGAGUGUUGCUAAGCAAUGGAGAGAAGGCGAGAGAGGGAGAGUGCCUGACUUCAGGAUUAGAAGGAUAGAUAGGAGGAAAAACACUAAGGCUUCUAGAUAGCCUUAUUUAUAGCCAGCUUCCAAGUUCUAUGUUUUUCUUGCCUGUCUUCUGACCUAUUUGUACCACAAUUAAUCAAACGUGGUUCAGUAUCUAUAGCACCAUGCCUCCAGCACAGAGUUGCGCUGCAUCCUGGAGCUCUGGCACAAGCAGUUACGCACCGGAACUGUCAACAUGUCUCCAGAUUGAACAGAAAGGAAGGAGAGAAGAAGAAAUCUUUCCUAUCAGCAGCAGCAGGGGUUGCUGCAGGAAGAAGAUAAUUCCCCCCUGCUGCUCUACUGACAGCCACCGAGCUUCACAGGAGGAACACGGCAUCUUAAGGAUGGAACCAAAAAACACAGCAGUUCUCAAAUCUUCAUCUCACCUUGGUUGAUUUACAUACAUUUAGGACAAACCGGCUCACUGUGGAAUUACCUUGUAUGUGGAAGAUAAUAGAGGAGGGAAGAAUUCAGUGCAAUUCCUAGUUUGCGCGCAGGAGAGAGGUUGGCUGUCUGCGUACCCCUCCCCCCCCGCCAAGCAUCCCAGAUAAACAGUGACCACUCUCUUCCUUAAAAGCACCAAGCAGACUUCCUAAUUCCAAGUCACGUGUCUUAUAAACUCCAUACUAUUAAAAAAAAACUUUAAAAGAUGAAAGGAUAAAAAGCAUCUUAUUAACAACCGGCAAGUCAAGGCCUGAUCAGGGUCCACUGAAGUCACAACAAAACCUGUGACAGAGGCCCAGGAGUUUUGGAUAUUUUAUCAGCUUGUCAUUAUAACAAAGGCAUCUCAUAACGGGCCACUAAGAUGAAUGCAAAUCUCGCAUCAGAGACAGCCAGGCAUUCCCAAAAUUAAAAAUUUGAGCACACAGCAGAUUAUAGGCAGCAGCUUUGGGCAUGUGGCACAACAUCUGUUACAAAAACACUAGAAAGCAGACCUGCGGCAAACUGGACCUCUGCCAGCUCUCAGGAUUUUUUUUUUUUUCCCUUGACAAGGCUGUCAGGAAAUGGACAGAUGGCAGCCGAUGCACUCGCAGGAUAGUUAGUUCAGUUAACAAUCAAGUAUGCUAAAUGAUUUCAGAUUCGCUCCGCACCAGGCAUUGUAUUUUGUACUGAAUCAUUAACACUAUGUCCUGAUAGGAAUAUAGUUUGGUAGCAAGAAACUGGCAGAUAUUGUAUUUCACAAAGCAGUUUCUCUGGAACAAUUUGUCAGGGAACAUUAGAACUGCCUUCAUGAAUAAAAUCAGAAUCGGCCAAGUUUACCAAGCUGGUUCGUGCAUAAUCUUAACUCUACAGUAUUCAAAGAAUAGGGAUUGAAACAAACAUUAAGAUGCAGGGCAGAUAGUAGCACAAGUUGUUCCCACACGUGCACUCAGCUGAAAAAGCAGCGUUAGCCAGGCACAGUGCGUGCGAUACCUUAUCACUGCAGCUUGUCUGCCUUACCACGUGCAAGGCACUGAGCUCUCCCAGCAGGCCAGUUCUCACAAGCAGCCCUCUGGAUAACGUGCUUGUCCCUCAAGCACACUGAUGUGAAGAUUUGACCCAGGAAAAUUGGUAUUUCUUGGCUUUCAUGAGUGCAACCCAUAAAGUUAAGGCACUAUACCUCCAGGGGGCAAAUAACUCAGCAUUGAACAUUGAUGAACAGCACACAGGUGGACUUCUGGCAUUAAGAGAACUAUCUUUUUAUUCUUUCUCUUUAUGAUCAUGUCUUCAGCAGCAUGUUUUGUAGACCUCACAACACAGUUACUCCAUUAUCUUGCUUCUUUUUUAAAAAAGCAAGCAGCAGGGCAAGAGUAAUCUUUGGAAAAAAAUAAGUACAUUGGAAGAAAACUGAAAAUUGCAAAGCAUUCAUAGUGACCAAACAACAAAUCAGUGAUCUACACAUUGAGGUAAUGGCCUACAGAAGAACUGCAGGUGAUCUGACUUGCAAUAAUGAUAUUACAUUGUGAAAGACUUGUACUUUGGAGCAACCCAAAAGCACAGAUCUCACAGUGUAACUACUGAGCCAAGAGCAGCAGAGCAGUGCCAAAUGUGAGGACGAUCUCAACACCUCUCAUAGAGCAACGAACCCACCUACGGUCAGUCAGUGAACGUGACAUGGAUCUUCUGUUAAGUUCCCAUUUCUGCUGACGUUGGUUUUCUUUAGAAGUGUUUAGAUGGCAUCAACACAGACUAGGAAAAAAAAAAACGAGUAAUGGAAGCUGAGAACUCAUCUGUCCUGCUCUAGUUCAGCGGAGGUACAAGAAUAUUCAGAGGAACUCUGUUUGGCUAAGCUCAUUUCUUCUGGCUCAACUUCUUGCAAAAAUGUGAUUAUACCUUAGUGAAAUUUAAUCUUUGCAUUCCAAACCUUCUUUCCAAAGAAAAAAAAUCUUCUAAGGGCAUAAAUUAUCAAGAGAGGAGAGACACCAACCAACUCUGAGAAAACAGAUGAAAAAUAGUUGUCUCUUCUCAGCACUACUCAUCUGGUAAAUCUGCAAAGCUAUUCCAAAAAAUGAAUUACAGAAGAGCUGCAUGUCACUUUUCAACAGUCAGAAAUACACUUUAUCAGAUAGAAAGUCAAAAAGAGUAUGAAAAAGCAGGACAAAUUAGCUACAACAGAUUUAGGAAUGCCAGGCAUUCAUAAUAUUCUUUCAUAAUGCCAGACAGUCAUAAAGAUUGAAAAUUUGGCUCCCAGUGGUCCCACAGUAGUAACUUAUUUCUCAUUUUCCCUUUAAUUCCUACUACAGCCAAAUAACAAAGACAAACGUAGCAGAUAUGUAUUUUUAUAGUAACAGCAGUUCCUCAUAACAAUUCUGCUUCAAAACCACACAUUAGGAUGGAAUUAGCAAAACCCAGUUUGCAGCCUCGUUUUUCAGCCAAAGGUCCACACUUCCCCACCCCUAUCUCCCAGUAAUAUCUGUCCCACAUUGUCUCAGGAGAGAAACAAAAAAGAAUUCUUUAGUUCUCCACAAAACAUUUUUUCCAUUUAUGGAUAGAGAAUGCAUAGCAUCAUUAGACCCAAAUGAGACAACUGCAGAAUGCUUCUGCCUGGGUGUGAUUGGCCAUUCACAGCAACAGAGAGCUUUCACUGGUGAGGAGGGAAGGGAUGUCAGUGGGAGUUUGUUCCCAUCUGUCAGCUCAGCAGCACUGAUGGUGCUGAAUGAAGUCUUUCUGCUCAUUCAGCAUCUGUGGUCUAAUAUUUGCCAGGAGUUUGAUCUUGACCUCUUGGGUUGUGCCUACAGUACCCAGGGUUCCCAGGUGGCUUCCAGCCAAGUGUCAGCCUGGUCUAGGACUGCUGAGCCUGCAGAAUCAGACUGCCCUAAACCACAUUUUGUUGAUACAGUGUUGACUAGCAAAACCCACAGCACUGUUAUUGCUAUUUCUUAGUUUCUCCAAAUACUCUACUAUGCAGUCCACUAAGAUUAGGUUUUGCAGCUUUGGGGAAAGAGAGUAAGCAAUUCUUAUCAAAACACAGAUAUUUAAAGAGAAAAGGAAAUCAAAGAAAACCAGGUGAAAAAAAUGGCAGUAAGAAGGUUUUGCAAGUUUUUUUUCCUCUGGUUAUGUAAUAUUCCACCCAUCCCAGAUCAACUACUUUUUACCUUAUACCAUCUUGGACAGUGCAAAACAUCAGCAGACAUCACAAGGGAAAUAAAAUUUUAUGGCCAAAACUAAUUAUGGAUAAUCUGAAAUAGUUGUAGAUUCAUGUAUUAGGUAAGGCUAAAAAAAAAAAAGAAAGAUGCUAUAUAGGUCUAUCCAUUCAAUUUCUUUUCUUUUUAAGCAUCUUUUCUUUUAUAACCUUAUAGUUGCUAGUAGUUUCUUCUGCUCAGUAAUUCUUGAACUCACACAACUAUGUAACAAAAACACAGUUAUACACAUACUGUUACAUAGCAGUAUCUUUGUGCAGUAAGGUACACUGAUUGAAGUCCUUGUAUUUUAAUCAUGCAGUUAAAAAUUCAACACUAAUAUUGCAAUAAUAGUUAUAAAACACUACCUAUGACUAUAGCUCUGUAGCUUUCUACAAUGUGACACCCUCAACUCUUUCUGUGCAGAUAUACAAUAAUUCAUAAACUGUUCUUACCUGGGCAGGUAAGAGGUUUUACCCUGUUCAAGAUUACUUAGGAACACACGCUCCUUGUGAAUGAUGUCAUGGUUAUUAAUAGACAUAAAUGAAUUCAUGUAAGUAUUGGAUAUGUUGCAUCAUUUUUUAGGUACGAAGUGGAUUAACUUUUGACUAAGAUUAUUGUACAUUGUCUAUCAAUUUCACUGCCUCUGUAGAGAAAGAUUAUGGACUUUUAUAAAGUAGUAGACAAUGUAUAAGCUUUUCUUUAUCAAAAAAAAUCCAGAAACACAAGCACACACAACCUUCUUAGUAACACCAUGUAACUACAGUGUGGGCUAAGUGAAGUCAUAUGGCAUGACUUGAUUUUAUUCCGUUAGGGCACCUAUAACGUUAACACAGAGCGGGUAUCACAAAGACACAGUAAUAGCUACCUUCUCUCAUCUUAUUGCCUUGAGCAAACAGGGCCGUCUCCAAUACCAAAAACAGAAUAACAUCACAUUAAACAUGCAAAAUCCAAGAAGAUACCGGCUUUGAAUACUCUUUGAUCUUUCAUAACAGAAGGAAGUGUAAACCAAGAUCAAGUUUAUUAAAUACAGAUAAAAGCACAGUCAAGUUCCUUUCUUUCCAACAGCAGUUAAAAAUUGGACUUAAAUUUUUUCUUAGAGACAAUUAGUUUUAUAUUUACACGUUACUUCAAUAUACUAUUCCAAUUUAAAAAUCCAACUUCUGGUGACUAGAAUCCAUAUUUCUUCUGCCUUUGAACUGGAAAUUGCUCUCUUCCCAACAUUAGGGCAUAAGUUAAUUGAGAGUAUGAACUCGUAGCACUCAUAUGGAGAGGGAACAAAGCUGUAGCAGUAAUGCAACAAAAAUAAGAAGUCUGUGCAUUAUUUUAAAAUGUACUUUAUCCACACAUAAAACAUCCUUCCAACCAAUUCAGUUUUUGCUACAUUUUAGUAGCAGAUUAGGGGUACAGGUUAGCUGAAGAGUCAUUGACUAUUAAAAAAAUAGAUCUCUCCAACCUUGGAAGUACCUUGAAAACUGCCUUCUGUUCCUAGCACUGUGAAUUCCUAACUUAAACUCCCUGCACAAUAAACAACUGUAGUGCACUUAGAUUUCACUUGGAAAAGCAGUUUAGUCACUUUUUAUACUUCAAGGAUUGUAAUUCUUUACAACAGCAGCAGCUUGAAAUGCAUUAUAAUGCCUAAUUCAUUUGAGGCUUAAUUGCAGAAUGCUUUUAAUAUGGCCUUUAAGAUAAAACACAAUCUAAGUACCAUAAAAACCUUACAGCUUCUUCCACAAUUAAACUCCUUCAAUGAAGAGCACUAUCUUGUAAUUUUGCAAGUCAAAGCAUCGGUUGUAUGCGUUAGAGCACAACGCAGUGUAAGCAGAUGCCAAUAACGAUAUAGGCUUCCCUUUAUAACUUGAAUAAGUAUGACACCAAGGUAUUGACGAAUGACAUUCUCUUCUCCUGUAUUCAUAUAAACAUCAGGUUUGAAAAAGGACAAGUAUUUUUGUUACUGCUUGGAUCAUUCUCAUGGCUCUCAGCAAAAGGAUUGAUGUACUCUUCCUACCAAUACCAGCAGCACAGGAUUUGCUUCUCGUAAGGCAUCGCCACCCUCAGCUUCUGCUGAAUGAAUUCAGCUCACCUAAAGCUUAACACGUACCAAGGUAGACUAUUUAUUGAAAGAUCAGUUGAAAGGUAUGAGUGAUAACAGCCAAAAUUCAAACCAGUUUUAAUAAAACUUCCAGCCCUGACUCUCCAAAUCAAUAUUUUCACCCCUCUGUCCCGCUUGACCCCAGGCCCCUCUGCCCCAUUCCAGUACAGCAAGCCCCACGCACUGAUGUCAGAAGUGAUAGAUGGCUGGGUGCCUGGGGUGGGUUUCAAAACCAGGAGACAGAAUGGCAUCUGUCCAUAUACAUGCCCACCUAUCAUUAUCGUGCUAUAUUCAGCUCCCUCCUAAGAUUAUUUUCCAAGCACACCUCAAUAUAAAGAGGGCUGGUUUUUGUGUUUCUUUUUUAUUAAAUGAACAACAAAAUAAGUUUUAACAAAAAGAAAACUACUCAAAACUACAGCCAAUAUAGUUACGUCUCUCCGCAUUCCCAAACCAGUUGUGUAAUGUUGCUGCCCUUUUGUUAAGAUAGUUCACACUGGCACUUCAGAAAUGGCUGCAGUUUCCAAGAGAUGACAGAAUUUCACAUCCCCACCCUAUUCCCUCUGAGUGCCAGAACCCUUCCCAAUGCCUGCAGCAAUGCUUUGAAGUAGGUGCAACUGCAGCAAAUGCAAAAGAUUAAAGGAUUCUGGGGUUCAUGAAGAGAGGUGCAGAGCUCACUAUCACCAACGAGGUUCAUCUAAACAUUUUAAUUUUUUAUUUUAAAAUUUUUCAUCAUGAGAAGAGUUGGACCAUUAUUCCUUUCCCCAGGAUAUGUUUUACAUAACUGUCUAUGCUGUCUGUGACUAAAUCCUUAGAUGCAUAUAAAUGGACAUGCAUCUCAGCCUUCCGUCUUCACUCCUGGGAGACUGUGCAGAACCUCACUCACAGACAACAGCAUAUCAAGAACUGAAAGGAUGAAAUAUGUUCAAAACAUACAGCAAUAUUACCACACAUCUCAUUUUUUCUUUAAAGCAGCUCUCACAUAGGAGGAUGUUUAAAAUGUGGAAAUCCUAUAAAAAGAAGCUGCAAUAUUCCUCUGACAGAUUUGUUUUUGUUAAACAUUUCAUUUAUUCAGUAUUCUGUUAAGUUUAGAAAUUCUGAACUGAUGCUUUGAAAAAGCAGCUGACCUCACAAGAGCACCAACCAUCAUGUGUCCCACCAAAGCAGCCUCCCAAGUGUUAUUUCCUUCAGAACAAAGAUCUCUACCUGAUUUUCUACCUUUGUUCAAAACCUGCUCAAGUCGUCACUAUGACUUGCCCCCAUCGCUAGCCAUUUCUAAACCUCCUGGCAAGGGCACUACUAGGAAAACUGCACGCCUGCAUGGCACAUGGUACAUUCACAAGAAAGCCCAUAACACAGGCUGCAGCAGAUUUCCUUCUAAUUUAUAGUAAUAUUCAAGAGAUAACACCCUGUUGCACAGAGCUUUUGCUGUUUAGAGGUAGGGAUGACAGAUGAGGAAACAGGAUCAGUCUGAGAUAGAAGAUGAAGUAGUUCUGAGAAUCAGAAGUUUUCUGUUGUUUUAUUAUUUCUCUUUUCUCCAAGUCUGCCUGCCCAAAGCUCACCCUAAAACUUGGGGACCGGCCUCUUCCCUUCCAUUAUGGCACAUCUUGCCAUCCCUAACCUCAGCAUCAUUUCCUUUUCUUCCAGCCCACCACAAAGCUUUUCACCUCAUACUUAUCUAUGCACCUUCCUUACCCUCUUUCCUGACUCUGCAGAUCCUAGCAUUGCCUCAGUCAAUGCAGAGCACAUGGCUCAGCCAACAGUGGUGGUGUCUUCAGGCAGUAACACGUUGGAGGUAUCUAUAGCAGCUGAGCUAUCAUAACCACAGCAAGCUGUUUUCACAUUUACUGCUGAGUUCCUGAGCAGCCUGCUGGCCCUGAUCUGCAGUUCCCAUGAAUCAGCUGGUCCCAGUGAAGAGAGUAAACUGCUAUUAGUGAUGCACUUCAAUUUUAGUGAAUGUAAAAUAUCUAGUCACAUUUAACAAAGGUUGAACUUGGGUUUUUGCUAAAGGCUACUUUUUCCUGGGAUGAAGCUGCUUGCAGAUCUUAGUUUCUCCUCCUGAGCACUUUAUGCACGUUUAUCAUAAGGUACUUGGUCACAGUUCUUGUACUUGUCCCUUUCUCCCCUCCAUCCCAACUAGAACUGCUGGCACAUUUUACAGGAACAUUACCAAUCUCAGUGUCAGAAUCCAAGACUCUUUUUUUGAACCAUUCCCUAUUGCUGUAUUACAAGGGUAAUAUUUUAGAAAAGGGUCAGAGCGGGAAGCAAGGAAUCACAGUGGGGUGCUGGUUUUAUAGUUUGAACACCUAGAACUGCUGAAAGGCAAAGAACACGGUAAAACUGGUAGAAAUGUUAGUAAAGAUAAGCUUAAAGCCCUAACAAAUAAACAGUACUUGGCGAGUUAAUAACGUUCUAUGCUUAAUAGUCAGCAUGAAAACCUUAAGGCUACUGUAAAGUCAAUAGGCACAGAAAACAAAAACUGUGUCCCAGUGUUAGAGAUUGUAUCUUGUGCAUACGCUUCUUCAGAUGUGAAUAGUUUUUACCAAAGGUAAAUAGGAAUAACAAGGAAAGUAAUAGCCUGUGGCACAGCAUUGUCUAAGUAUUUGGCAAAAUGGUAAAGCACAAUAAAAUCAAGGAUUUUUAAAAAUAUUAACUGUAAAACAAAUUAAAUAUUGCUAUUUCGUUAUGUUUUUGAUGAGGGUUAAUGAGGUCAUUUAAAAAAUUAAAGCUGCUUCACUUUUGUGUACAGCAUUCCAGACAUUUCCAAGGGGGCUGGUGCCAAGAGACUAUUUGGUUUGUCUACUUCUCCAGCUGGGCAGCCACCUUCCCUCCCCAGCCCUCACACCACAGCCACGCUAAGGGUGCAACACUGCCUGAGCUGGCACACCCUCAGACGUUCCUGAGCCUUGGGAGCUAAAUGUAUCAUUCUUAACCAGUACAGUAGUACCUAUAAGCCCCAAAGAGCAAACAGCUAGCACUCUCUUUAACCUGCCCCCCUCCCCUCCGCUCUUAUUUUUUUUGGACAAAGCUUUAAUAAUCCAGAGGUGUGAACAGAUGAAAGUGAUACAGCCAAAGCCAACAACUCAAAAUACAAAAUAAUUCUACUCCCUGCCUGGUGACUUCUAAAUUUCCUUGGCCAGUCCUCAAAGUUUCUCGCAGAGACCAGAGGCCCUUAUCUGAUGGAAUUCAGCAUCAGUAACUUCAAAGUUGUGCUCUGCGGGCGUGAUGGGGAAAUCAAUCCAACCACGAUACACAGAGAUUAGAUCAGCUAUUGCCACUCAGAAGAGAAAUCUGUGGACAGUCUUGUAUAAGUGUUAGCUCAGCAUUCAUCAACAAAGGAAAAAUGAAUCAGAGGAGCAACACGUCAAGGAGCGGAGAAGGAAAGAAAAUACUUUCUCAUCUGUCACUACAAAUCUAUGAUGGUGUGCAUCAAGAGGCUUCCAACAGAGCACUGGCUAGAAGCUAAAGCUGCCCUAAAGAUAACGUGCAAUCUGAAAUUGGAGACUGCGCAAAGAUGCCACCUGCUCUGCCCUGCAACGUAAGCCAGCCUCUGGACUGGAGCCAAUUCCAGGGGCAGAGAUUACUGCAGCUUGUUCACACAUACACACAUAUGUGAUGGAAUGCAUUUUUUUCCUAGUGCAGAGCUGUUAUUCCAGAACA